GAUUGAGUCGACCCCAAGGAUGAUUGGGUCGACCCCGGCACAUCAAGAAAGCAUUUGGCACACUUCUGCAAAAAUGGCACAGAUGAACAGUGAGUUGGGUCGACCCAAGGAAAGCAUGAGUCGACCCAAACAUCAAGAUCCUCAAACAACUCAGAAAAUGAUUCUCUGGAUUUACUGAGAGGGUCGACCCAAGAAGAAGUUGAGUCGACCCAAGUAAACCUUGAGUCGACCCAAAGAAAGGCUGAGUCGACCCAAGUGAAGAAAGGCUGAAAUUCAAGAUUCUGAAUUUCCUGAGGUUGGGUCGACCCAAGAAAAGUUUGAGCUGACCCAAGGUUUGAGUCGACCCAAAGAAAGGUUGGGUCGACCCAAGGCAACAGAAGGCUGAAUUUCAAGUUUCUGUGUUUUCUGAGAGGGCCGACCCAAGAAAUGGUUGAGUCGACCCAAGGCAAAGUUGGGUCGACCCAAGGACAGGUUGAGCCGACCCAAACACGGGCUGAACAUAACGGCUAGUUGUGCAGAAAUGCUUUUUGGACUCCCAACGGCUAUAAACGGCUAGUUUCUUCAAUCCAACGUUCAGAAAGGACUAUUUGGAGGUUGGAGAAGUAUUUAAGAGGGAGUAUUCAUCAGAGGAAGCAAGCCUUUGGGGAAAAUACAUCAAGUGCAUUCAAGAGAGAACCCUAGAAAGGCAA
rnacentral:lncRNA from 1 species